UACGAAGGGGGCUAGCGUUGCUCGGAAUCACUGGGCGUAAAGGGUGCGUAGGCGGGGCUUUAAGUCAGGGGUGAAAUCCUGGAGCUCAACUCCAGAACUGCCUUUGAUACUGAGAAGCUUGAGUCCGGGAGAGGUGAGUGGAACUGCGAGUGUAGAGGUGAAAUUCGUAGAUAUUCGCAAGAACACCAGUGGCGAAGGCGGCUCACUGGCCCGGUACUGACGCUGAGGUGCGAAAGCGUGGGGAGCAAACAGG
rnacentral:rRNA from 1 species